rnacentral:rRNA from 1 species
UACGGAGGGUGCAAGCGUUGUCCGGAUUUAUUGGGCUUAAAGGGCGCGUAGGCGGCUUUAUAAGUCCGUGGUGAAAGCCAACAGCUCAACUGUUGAACUGCCAUGGAUACUGUAAGGCUUGAGUACAGACGAGGUAGGCGGAAUGGAUGGUGUAGCGGUGAAAUGCAUAGAUACCAUGCAGAACACCGAUUGCGUAGGCAGCUUACUAGGCUGGAACUGACGCUGAGGCACGAAAGCGUGGGGAGCGAACAGG